CCUACGGGAGGCAGCAGUGAGGAAUAUUGGUCAAUGGCCGGAAGGCUGAACCAGCCAUGCCGCGUGAAGGGCAGGGUCCUACGGGCGUUAAACUUCUUUUGUGCGGGAGCAAUAAUGGUCACGUGUGGCCAGACGAGAGUACCGUACGAAUAAGCAUCGGCUAACUCCGUGCCAGCAGCCGCGGUGAUACGGGGGAUGCAAGCGUUAGACGGAUUUAAUGGGUUUAAAGGGGGCGUAGGCUGUGAGGUAAGUCAGCGGGGGAAUGCCCCCGCUUAACGGGGUGAAGUGCCAUUGAUACUGCCCUGCUGGAGUGCGGAUGCCGUGGGAGGAAUGUGUGGUGUAGCGGUGAAAUGCAUAGAUAUCACACAGAACACCGAUUGCGAAGGCAUCUCACGAAUCCGCGAUUGACGCUGAUGCACGAAAGCGUGGGUAUCAAACAGGAUUAGAUACCCGGGUAGUC
rnacentral:rRNA from 1 species